rnacentral:rRNA from 1 species
AGUUCGGACUGCAGUCUGCAACUCGACUGCACGAAGUCGGAAUUGCUAGUAAUCGCGGAUCAGCAUGCCGCGGUGAAUACGUUCCCGGGCCUUGUACACACCGCCCGUCACACCAUGAGAGUCGGGAACACCCGAAGUCGGUAGUCUAACCUCGUGAGGACGCCGCCGAAGGUGGGCUUGAUAAUUGGGGUGAAGUCGUAACAAGGUAUC